GGAAAAGCUAAGGCUGAAUGGCAGCACACCUGUUUACAGCAUGGCUUACUGGAUAGUUUAAGCCCAUUAUUGAGACCUAUUGCUCAGAUAAAAAGAUUUCUUUCAACAUAUUACUGCUCACUGAUAAUGUAUCUGGUCACCCAUGAACUCUGAUGGAGAUGUAAAAAAAAAAAAAAUGGAUGUUGUUUUCAUGUCUGCUAAUACAAUAUAUUCUGUAGUCCAUAGAUCAAGGAGUAAUUUUAAAGUA